CAAUAGCGUAUAUUAAAGUUGUUGCAGUUAAAAAGCUCGUAGUUGGACCUUGGACCUGGACAGGCGGUCCGCCUCACGGCGUGUACUGUCUUGCUGGGUCUUUCCUCUUGGUGAUCUGUUGUUUCGGCAGCAGGGAACCAGGACUCUUACUUUGAAAAAAUUAGAGUGUUCAAAGCAGGCUCGACGCCGGAAUAUAUUAGCAUGGAAUAAUAAAAUAGGACGUGCGGUUCUAUUUUGUUGGUUUUUGGAAUCGCCGUAAUGAUUAAUAGGGACAGUCGGGGGCAUUAGUACUCACAUGCUAGAGGUGAAAUUCUUGGAUUUUGUGAAGACUAACUUCUGCGAAAGCAUUUGCCAAGGAUGUUUUCAUUAA
rnacentral:rRNA from 1 species